GGGUGCGAUCAUACCAGCGUUAAUGCACCGGAUCCCAUCAGAACUCCGCAGUUAUGCGCACUUGGGCUAGAGUAGUACUGGGAUGGGUGACUCCUCGGGAAGUCCUAGUGUUGCACCCU
rnacentral:rRNA from 1 species